GACGAACGCUGGCGGCGCGCUUAACACAUGCAAGUCGAGCGAAGCGGAGGACGGGUGAGUAACACGUGAGUAACCUGCCUUAGACAUUGGGAUAGCCUCGGGAAACCGGGAUUAAUACCAAAUGGUCUAAGAUGGACUCGCGUCCCAUUAGCUAGUUGGUGAGGUAACGGCCCACCAAGGCGACGAUGGGUAGCCGGCCUGAGAGGGUGAACGCCCACAUUUGAACUGGGAAACGGUCCAAACUCUACGGGAGGCAGCAGUGGGGAAUAUUGCACAAUGGAGUGAGCUCUGAUGCAGCGACGCCGCUUGAACGCAGAAGGCUUUCGAGUCGUAAAGUUCUUUUAUAUGGGAAGCGGUACCAUAAGAAAAAGGUCCGGCUAAAUACGUGCCAGCAGCCGCGGUAAUAC
rnacentral:rRNA from 1 species